CGAGUAAUGAACCUCACUUACAGGAUGGAGAUAAUAGUGCCUUCCAUGCAAAGUGAAAGCUAAAUUAGGUAAUGCACGUGAGCAUAGAAGACCUGGAAAUAGGCACUCAUUGAGCGAAACUUAAUCUACCUGUCUGUUACAUAAUAUACAUGUGUAUAUGAUUAAGUGGAUUUGUUCUUCCUGCGACAACAGCCGAAACUCAGAAAAUCUACUUAAUUGUCUCUCUGACUUCAUACUGAACAUUUCUACUCUUUCCACCAAACAAGAAGCUGGAUAGCUGACGUAACAGAAAUGAUGGAAGCCAGAAAACAGUACAAUGGCAUCUUUAAAGUAUUAUAUAAGAAGAGAUCUGCCAACCUUGUCCAGAGAAAACACCCUACGAAAAUAAAGAACAAUCAGAAACCAGAUGACUUGCCAGAAGACUUUACUGAGUCACUGUGUCAUUUGAGUCCAUAACAUCCAAAAUGUUAUUUGGAGUUGUCCCUCUGGAUGACACUCAGGAGGAUUUCAUGUUCUGAGGCAAUCAAUCUGGGGACAUGAGGUCAGAAGACUAGAUGAGAUUCAAGUGGAGGUGUGAGUAUGCAAGUGUAUGAAAUCUGUCUUCAAAAUAAGCCAUUCUAUCAUCUGCCACUACUAUGUAAGGAUGAUAGAGACCUACAGAUGCAAUCACAAGGUCG